rnacentral:rRNA from 1 species
UUGAUGAACGCUGGCGGUAUGCCUAACACAUGCAAGCCGAACGCACCUUCGGGUGAGUGGCGGACGGGUGAGUAACGCGUGAGAAUCUACCUUCUGGUCGGGGACAACCACUGGAAACGGUGGCUAAUACCCGAUGAGCUGCNAGGUCAAAGAUUUAUCGCCAGAAGAAGAGCUCGCGUNUGAUUANCUAGUUGGUGGGGUAAAAGCCUACCAAGGCANCGAUCANUANCUGGUCUGAGAGGAUGACCANCCACACUGGGACUGANACACGGCCCAGACUCCUACUGGAGGCAGCAGUGGGGAAUUUUCCNCAAUGGGCGCAAGCCUGACNGAGCAAUACCGCGUGAGGGAGGAAGGCUCUUGGGUCGUAAACCUCUUUUGUCAGGGAAGAAGAAAGUGACGGUACCUGACGAAUCAGCAUCGGCUAACUCCGUGCCAGCAGCCGCGGUAAU